GACCCCGUGAACCUUUACUAUAGCUUGACACUGAACAUUGAGCCUUGAUGUGUAGGAUAGGUGGGAGGCUUUGAAGCGUGGACGCCAGUCUGCGUGGAGCCAACCUUGAAAUACCACCCUUUAAUGUUUGAUGUUCUAACGUGGACCCGUAAUCCGGGUUGCGGACAGUGUCUGGUGGGUAGUUUGACUGGGGCGGUCUCCUCCUAAAGAGUAACGGAGGAGCACGAAGGUUGGCUAAUCCUGGUCGGACAUCAGGAGGUUAGUGCAAUGGCAUAAGCCAGCUUGACUGCGAGCGUGACGGCGCGAGCAGGUGCGAAAGCAGGUCAUAGUGAUCCGGUGGUUCUGAAUGGAAGGGCCAUCGCUCAACGGAUAAAAGGUACUCCGGGGAUAACAGGCUGAUACCGCCCAAGAGUUCAUAUCGACGGCGGUGUUUGGCACCUCGAUGUCGGCUCAUCACAUCCUGGGGCUGAAGUAGGUCCCAAGGGUAUGGCUGUUCGCCAUUUAAAGUGGUACGCGAGCUGGGUUUAGAACGUCGUGAGACAGUUCGGUCCCUAUCUGCCGUGGGCGCUGGAGAACUGAGGGGGGCUGCUCCUAGUACGAGAGGACCGGAGUGGACGCAUCACUGGUGUUCGGGUUGUCAUGCCAAUGGCACUGCCCGGUAGCUAAAUGCGGAAGAGAUAAGUGCUGAAAGCAUCUAAGCACGAAACUUGCCCCGA
rnacentral:rRNA from 1 species